rnacentral:misc_RNA from 1 species
GAAAUGCGAUAAGUAAUGUGAAUUGCAGAAUUCAGUGAAUCAUCGAAUCUUUGAACGCAUCUUGCGCCCUUUGGUAUUCCGAAGGGCAUGCCUGUUUGAGUGUCAUGAAAACAUCAUCCCAUCGGGUUUCCGAUGGCAUGGACUUGGGUGUUGCCGUCUGGCUCGCCUCAAAAGCCUUAGUGGUUCGAGUCGAAUCUGGCGUAAUAAGUUUCGCUGGCCUAGACGAAAGACUGCUUUACCCGUCUUCUGACAUCUUUUGCUCUGACCUCAAAUCAGGUAGGACUACCCGCUGAACUUAA